rnacentral:SRP_RNA from 2 species
GCCAGGCGUGGUGGUGCACGCCUAUAAUCCCAGCUACUCGGGAGGCUGAAGCAGGAGAAUCACUUGAACCUGGGAGGUGGGGGUUGCAGUGAGCUGAGAUCCUGCUACUGCACUCCAGCCUGGGUGACAGAGUGAGAUCCUGUCUCAA